rnacentral:rRNA from 1 species
GACGAACGCUGGCGGCGUGCCUAAUACAUGCAAGUCGAACGCUGAAGGAGGAGCUUGCUUCUCCGGAUAAGUUGCGAACGGGUGAGUAACGCGUAGGUAACCUGCCUGGUAGCGGGGGAUAACUAUUGGAAACGAUAGCUAAUACCGCAUAACAGUAGAUGUUGCAUGACAUUUGCUUAAAAGGUGCAAUUGCAUCACUACCAGAUGGACCUGCGUUGUAUUAGCUAGUUGGUGAGGUAACGGCUCACCAAGGCGACGAUACAUAGCCGACCUGAGAGGGUGAUCGGCCACACUGGGACUGAGACACGGCCCAGACUCCUACGGGAGGCAGCAGUAGGGAAUCUUCGGCAAUGGACGGAAGUCUGACCGAGCAACGCCGCGUGAGUGAAGAAGGUUUUCGGAUCGUAAAGCUCUGUUGUAAGAGAAGAACGAGUGUGAGAGUGGAAAGUUCACACUGUGACGGUAUCUUACCAGAAAGGGACGGCUAACUACGUG